AUUGAGCGCUGGCGGCAUGCCUUACACAUGCAAGUCGAACGGCAGCACGGGAGCAAUCCUGGUGGCGAGUGGCGAACGGGUGAGUAAAGUAUCGGAACGUGCCCAGUCGUGGGGGAUAACGUAGCGAAAGUUACGCUAAUACCGCAUACGAUCUAUGGAUGAAAGCGGGGGAUCGCAAGACCUCGCGCGAUUGGAGCGGCCGAUAUCAGAUUAGGUAGUUGGUGGGGUAAAGGCUCACCAAGCCGACGAUCUGUAGCUGGUCUGAGAGGACGACCAGCCACACUGAGACUGAGACACGGCCCGGACUCCUACGGGAGGCAGCAGUGGGGAAUUUUGGGCAAUGGGCGAAAGCCUGAUCCAGCCAUGCCGCGUGCAGGAUGAAGGCCUUCGGGUUGUAAACUGCUUUUGUACGGAACGAAAAGGUUUGGGCUAAUAAGCUGAGCUCAUGACGGUACCGUAAGAAUAAGCACCGGCUAACUACGUGCCAGCCGCCGCCGUAA
rnacentral:rRNA from 1 species